rnacentral:rRNA from 1 species
CAGCCGCCGCGGGAAUACGGAGGGAGUUAGCGUUGUUCGGAAUUACUGGGCGUAAAGCGCACGUAGGCGGCUUUGUAAGUCAGAGGUGAAAGCCUGGAGCUCAACUCCAGAACUGCCUUUGAGACUGCAUCGCUUGAAUCCAGGAGAGGUGAGUGGAAUUCCGAGUGUAGAGGUGAAAUUCGUAGAUAUUCGGAAGAACACCAGUGGCGAAGGCGGCUCACUGGACUGGUAUUGACGCUGAGGUGCGAAAGCGUGGGGAGCAAACAGGAUUAGAUACCCCCGUAGUCCCUGUCUCUUAUAC